AUUGAACGCUGGCGGCAGGCCUAACACAUGCAAGUCGAGCGGAUGAAGGGAGCUUGCUCCUGGAUUCAGCGGCGGACGGGUGAGUAAUGCCUAGGAAUCUGCCUGGUAGUGGGGGAUAACGUCCGGAAACGGGCGCUAAUACCGCAUACGUCCUGAGGGAGAAAGUGGGGGAUCUUCGGACCUCACGCUAUCAGAUGAGCCUAGGUCGGAUUAGCUAGUGGGUGGGGUAAAGGCCUACCAAGGCGACGAUCCGUAACUGGUCUGAGAGGAUGAUCAGUCACACUGAAACUGGGACACGUUCCGGACUCCUAGGGGGGGCACCGUGGGGAAUAUUGGACAAUGGGCGAAAGCCUGAUCCAGCCAUGCCGCGUGUGUGAAGAAGGUCUUCGGAUUGUAAAGCACUUUAAGUUGGGAGGAAGGGCAGUAAGUUAAUACCUUGCUGUUUUGACGUUACCAACAGAAUAAGCACCGGCUAACUUCGUG
rnacentral:rRNA from 1 species